rnacentral:misc_RNA from 1 species
AUUAAAUUUAAGUUUGCAAGUGUAAUUGUUAUUAAAUUUAAGUUUGCAAGCGUCGUAGAAUUUUGGUGUUUAGAUAUUGCAUGAGAAUUUAGUUCUUCAAUCCGGCUCCUGAAUCCUUUGCUAAAAAUGCCACGUGUCCGUUGGUCCCUACAUAAACCAUAACUUACCCUUGUCCUCUUCUUCGGUCCAUUACUGAAUAUUUUCCUCUGGACCUUUUUAUGCCUAAAUCGACAUUUGCAUAUGUGCGCACUACGCACCCCCGCGUACACUGAAUCGGAGUCCCGUGCCUUGCCCACUCUCUCUUCACACAAAGCUCGCAUCAACGCCUUCAUCGUUUCCACCUUUUCUCUACGCCCGCUACUCUCUUUCCCUGCGCACUAUAAACCAAAACCUGCCGUUUAAACUCUGAAACUUCUCUGUUUAUAGGAAUAUCAUAUGCAUUAAUGGCCGUACACAGGAUCGAAAGAGCAGAUCUAUGGAAGAGCAAGGCGCGAGUAUUGCAGCUUCGGCUCAGAGAACGGUUCCGAGUGGCUGUAGACCGGCAUCGCAGACGGCCGUCGAUGUUUUCCGAUGGUUACUUCUCGUCGACGGUUCAACGGCUGCUGAUUCACUUCCGGGACUUUCGCCAGGGCUCUCUGCAGUCUUCUUCAGCCUUUUAUCGUAAAAGAGUUAGUAAGGACUUUACUGCUGAAGAAGAUUCUGUUAUUAUUCGCAUGCUUCAGUCCGUUGCUGUUCCUCUCCUUGGAAAUAUGUGUCAUGUAUUUAUGAAUGGUCUUAAUCAUGUUCAGGUCUACGGGUUAGAGAAAUUACAUGAUGCAUUGCUUCAUAGGCCUAGGAACAAACCACUUUUAACGGUGAGCAAUCAUGUUGCUUCUGUGGAUGAUCCAUUUGUUAUUUCUUCACUACUUCCUCAGAGAGUACUUUUGGAUGCUCAGAAUUUAAGAUGGACACUUUGUGCAACUGACCGCUGUUUUCGUAAUCCUGUGACUUCUGCGUUUUUUCGAUCUGUCAAAGUAUUGCCUGUAGCUCGUGGUGAUGGAAUUUAUCAGAAGGGCAUGGAUAUGGCUAUUGCAAAGUUGAACAAUGGUGGAUGGGUUCACAUUUUCCCAGAAGGUAGUCGAUCUCGUGAUGGUGGAAAGACUAUUGGGUCUUCAAAGAGAGGUGUUGGGAGAUUGGUCCUUGACGCUGAUACUGUUCCUAUAGUCAUCCCCUUUGUACACACCGGCAUGCAGGAAAUAAUGCCUAUAGGAGCCAACUUUCCGAGGAUUGGUAAAAUGGUGACAGUGCUUGUUGGCGACCCAAUCCAUUUUGAUGAUUUGCUUAAUGCAGAAGGAAUAGAACACAUAUCAAGAGGAAAAUUAUAUGAUGCUGUAGCUUCUAGAGUUGGUAGUCGAUUGUGUGAACUGAAAAUUCAAGUUGAAAAGUUGGCAUUUGAACAGGCUAUCAGGCUGCAACAUCCCAAUGCAGGAAGCAUAGAGAGGGCCAGUGAUAUGCUACAACAAGUUGAUUGGGAUUCAUUUGGCAUGGGAAGCCGUGUACUUACUGAAGAUGAUACAGUGGGACCUGGAAUCCAACCAAAACAAAACAUUACCUCUCACCGGGAACAUCAGGAAUCCAUUUCUUCUGAUCGAUCUUUCAGAAUGGGAUCCACUUGUGAAGGUGGAACCAUUUCAAGGAUCCAUGGUUGCGUGGAUUCGUUUGAGCUACUAGGUUUCGCAGCCAGGGGCGUAUUUAUAAGCCCUAGGCGAAGGAUAAAUGCACCUGGUGUUGGAGAUGCAAGCCCAUUGAGAGCGUGGAAACAAUAUCUAGAAGCUAACUUGCUAACACAGUGGAAUAUCUGCUGACCAAAUAAACUAGUUAGAUGAUGGAACAUAGCAAAAUUUUGAUUGUAGUGUAAAUAAGGCAAAUUUUUUAUCAAAUUUUAUGAAUAGGCUCAAAAAAUUGUUCACUUAUUGAUUUUGGUAUCAUCAGUGAGAUCUGCCGAUGCAGCUUAAGGAACUCAAUAGGACAGAUGAUUAUGAGUAAGCCUUGGUAGAAGAAAUUGCUUACUGUGACUAAGUUCAUUUUUCCACGUUUUAUAGGGAUAAAUAUGAG